GUGCUCACUUUGGCAGCACAUAUAAUAAAAUUGGAAUGAUACAGAGAAGAUUAGCAUUGCCCCUGCACAAGGAUGACAUGCAAAUCUGUGAAGCAUUCCAUAUUUUU
ensembl:snRNA U6 U6 spliceosomal RNA